AAUAUAGACCCCUUUCCAGCCUACGUCAUCACAGGAUGCGCGCGCAUUGUUGCGGCGGAAGUGCUGAAGAAGUUGCAUGAGUUUGAAUAGAGCGAGGGAAGAUUUGUUUCUUAAGUUGCGUUUUUGGAGUUGCAGUAACGUUAUAGAAGAACAACAUGCCCACCAGCUGUUGUGUGUACGGGUGUACAAAUCGAAAUCCCGAGGAACAUAAUUUUUUUGCAAUUCCCAGAGGAAACAGGCCAUUUCAAAAGCACCGUAGGAGCCUGUGGCUGCAAGCAUCAGAAGAACCGACUGGACCGAGGAUCAGCAAGAAUCAUAUCUGGUGAGAUGUCACUGGACCACGAGAGUCCUGAUUUUGUGCCCUCUAUUUUUUCAUACACUAAACAAAACCAAAACCCCGAUGCAAAGAUCAAAAGGUACCAAAGAAAAAAGAAAUGGAGUGAAAGACUUCUGGUUGCUCCACCAAAUCAACCUGCUCCUGCUCCUGGAACUCCAGAGGAAUCACCGGCAUGGAUCACAGUCCUACUGAAGAGGACAUCCCAGUCACGAGGACAGAAUACAAUGACCUGAACCUGAGAUACACCGAGCUGAAGAGUGACCACGUCAACCUGCAGGAAAAGUAUCAACAGCUGCGAGAUGAAAAUGAGAGACUUAAAGAGGAGCUGAAGAAGUCGACAUUUUCAUACUCAAAUAUUAAGUGCAACAUGGUACAACUGUUGUUUAUCACUGGAAUAACAUCUGUGCUCUUUGACUGGUUGUGCACCAAAAUUGC